CAAUAGCGUAUAUUAAAGUUGUUGCAGUUAAAAAGCUCGUAGUUGGAUUUGUGGCGUACGGUGUGUUCCGGGCACCUGUUGUCUGAGUAACCUGCUGUUGCCAUCCUUGGGUGGAACCUGUGUGGCAUUAGGUUGUCGUGCAGGGGAUGCCCAUCAUUUACUGUGAAAAAAUUAGAGUGUUCAAAGCAGGCUUAUGCCGUUGAAUAUAUUAGCAUGGAAUAAUGAGAUAGGACUUUUUUGCUAUUUUGUUGGUUUGCGCAAAGAGGUAAUGAUUAAUAGGGACAGUUGGGGGUAUUCGUAUUCCAUUGUCAGAGGUGAAAUUCUUGGAUUUUUGGAAGACGAACUACUGCGAAAGCAUUUACCAAGGAUGUUUUCAUUAA
rnacentral:rRNA from 1 species